UGGCGGCGUGCUUAACACAUGCAAGUCGAACGGUAAGGCCCCUUCGGGGGUACACGGCUGGCGAACUGGGUGAGUAACACGUGAGCAACCUGCCUCUGACUUUGGGAUAACAGUAGGAAACUGCUGCUAAUACCGGAUAUCACCUCCUUCUGCAUGGUGGGGGGUUGAAAGCUUUUGCGGUCAGGGAUGGGCUCGCGGCCUAUCAGCUUGUUGGUGAGGUAAUGGCUCACCAAGGCUUCGACGGGUAGCCGGCCUGAGAGGGCGACCGGCCACACUGGGACUGAGAUACGGCCCAGACUCCUACGGGAGGCAGCAGUGGGGAAUAUUGCACAAUGGGCGGAAGCCUGAUGCAGCAACGCCGCGUGCGGGAUGACGGCCUUCGGGUUGUAAACCCGCUUUCACUCAUGACGAAGCGCAAGUGACGGUAGUGAGAGAAGAAGCACCGGCCAACUACGUGCCAGCAGCCGCGGUGAUACGUAGGGUGCGAGCGUUGUCCGGAAUUAUUGGGCGUAAAGAGCUCGUAGGCGGUCUGUCACGUCGGAAGUGAAAACUCAGGGCUCAACCCUGAGCCUGCUUCCGAUACGGGCAGACUUGAGGAAGGUAGGGGAGAACGGAAUUCCUGGUGGAGCGGUGGAAUGCUCAGAUAUCAGGAGGAACACCGGUGGCGAAGGCGGUUCUCUGGACCUUUCCUGACGCUGAGGAGCGAAAGCGUGGGGAGCAAACAGGCUUAGAUACCCUGGUAGUCCACGCCGUAAACGGUGGGCACUAGGUGUGGGGGACAUUCCACGUUCUCCGUGCCGUAGCUAACGCAUUAAGUGCCCCGCCUGGGGAGUACGGCCGCAAGGCUAAAACUCAAAGGAAUUGACGGGGGCCCGCACAAGCGGCGGAGCAUGCUGAUUAAUUCGAUGCAACGCGAAGAACCUUACCUGGGUUUGACAUAUGCCGGAAAGCUGCAGAAGAUGUAGCCCCCCGCAAGGUCGGUAUAUCAGGUGGUGCAUUGCUUGCCGUCAGCUCCGGGCGUGAGAUGUUGGUUAAGUCCCGCAAACGAGCGCAACCCUCGUCCUAUGUUGCCAGCACGUCAUGGUGGGGACUCAUAGGAGACUGCCGGGGUCAACUCGGAGGAAGGUGGGGAUGAGGUCAAGUCAUCAUGCCCCUUAAGUCCAGGGCUUCACGCAUGCUACAAUGGCAGGUACAAACGGCUGCAAAACCGCAAGGUCGAGCGAAUCCGAAAAAGCCUGUCUCAGUUCGGAUUGGGGUCUGCAACUCGACCCCAUGAAGUCGGAGUCGCUAGUAAUCGCAGAUCAGCAACGCUGCGGUGAAUACGUUCCCGGGCCUUGU
rnacentral:rRNA from 1 species